UCUAGUCCAAGGCACCGGAAGUCCACGUUAUUGCCUAGCAGUUAAUUUAAUAUGCAUUUCGCAUUACAUCAUUUGUUUGCAAGCAACAAAAUGUCAGAAUUUUAUCAGUGUUGUUUGAGCUAUUAUAUUUAAGAAAUGGGCUCACUAUUCAAUAUCUCUUAGCGCUAGUAUUGUGAACUAACCUUCAAGGAACAGGAUGGUACCAAGUUCACCUAUUAUUUCCAAAAUCUGUUUCUGAUUCUGAGCUACUCGGCUGCUCCAUGCAAGGUGCUGGUGCUACGUACUUAACUGUAAAGGUAUGAAUCUACUAUUACUGCGACGGAAUCCGGCAGCUCCUACAUAACACAACUGUCAGACUUGAUAUCCAAAGAAGGCUUUUGGGGUGAAAAUACUUACGGACAUAAUUUUUUGCGUUCUCACAGAGGAUACAUGGCUGACAUGGGAGAGUGCGACAUGAUUGUCCUGGAUGCACACUGGAUUGAACUGGCCUCACGUAGUGUAAUAUAAUCAGUUGACUUCCGUAGCGUCCAUUUUUGUGUUGCUAGAUUGGUUUAUUUUGCUCUGAAUGUUCUACAUUGCUCUAUUUAGUUAGCUGAUAACUUUUGUAACUUGUCAUACUAUUCUGAACAAACCUUUGUGUUGUUAAAUUGUUUGCCACUUGUUACCACACUAUGACCACAUGAAUUUUAAGUGGUAAAUUUAGCAUGCUCUAACUUUUUGUUUUUUUGCUGGA